AACGCACAUUGCGCCCGGUAGUAAUCUGCCGGGCAUGCCUGUCCGAGCGUCAUUUCUCCCCUCGAGCGCGGCUUCACGGCCGACGCCCGGUGUUGGGGCGCUACGGGAGGAGCCUCGCGCUCCCCCCGUAGGCCCCGAAAUGAAGUGGCGGUCCCGCCGCGGCGCCCCCUGCGUAGUAGUUUUACAACUCGCAUCGGGUCCCGGUGGAGGCCAGCCGUCAAACCCCCAACUCAACAGUUUGACCUCGGAUCAGGUAGGGUUACCCGCUGAACUUAA
rnacentral:misc_RNA from 1 species